GGGUUGUGAGGUUAAGCGACUAAGCGUACACGGUGGAUGCCCUGGCAGUCAGAGGCGAUGAAGGACGUGCUAAUCUGCGAUAAGCGUCGGUAAGGUGAUAUGAACCGUUAUAACCGGCGAUUUCCGAAUGGGGAAACCCAGUGUGAUUCGUCACACUAUCAUUAACUGAAUCCAUAGGUUAAUGAGGCGAACCGGGGGAACUGAAACAUCUAAGUACCCCGAGGAAAAGAAAUCAACCGAGAUUCCCCCAGUAGCGGCGAGCGAACGGGGAGCAGCCCAGAGCCUGAAUCAGUGUGUGUGUUAGUGGAAGCGUCUGGAAAGGCGCGCGAUACAGGGUGACAGCCCCGUACACAAAAAUGCACAUGCUGUGAGCUCGAUGAGUAGGGCGGGACACGUGGUAUCCUGUCUGAAUAUGGGGGGACCAUCCUCCAAGGCUAAAUACUCCUGACUGACCGAUAGUGAACCAGUACCGUGAGGGAAAGGCGAAAAGAACCCCGGCGAGGGGAGUGAAAAAGAACCUGAAACCGUGUACGUACAAGCAGUGGGAGCACAGAGCAAUCUGUGUGACUGCGUACCUUUUGUAUAAUGGGUCAGCGACUUAUAUUCUGUAGCAAGGUUAACCGAAUAGGGGAGCCGAAGGGAAACCGAGUCUUAACUGGGCGUUAAGUUGCAGGGUAUAGACCCGAAACCCGGUGAUCUAGCCAUGGGCAGGUUGAAGGUUGGGUAACACUAACUGGAGGACCGAACCGACUAAUGUUGAAAAAUUAGCGGAUGACUUGUGGCUGGGGGUGAAAGGCCAAUCAAACCGGGAGAUAGCUGGUUCUCCCCGAAAGCUAUUUAGGUAGCGCCUCGUGAAUUCAUCUCCGGGGGUAGAGCACUGUUUCGGCAAGGGGGUCAUCCCGACUUACCAACCCGAUGCAAACUGCGAAUACCGGAGAAUGUUAUCACGGGAGACACACGGCGGGUGCUAACGUCCGUCGUGAAGAGGGAAACAACCCAGACCGCCAGCUAAGGUCCCAAAGUCAUGGUUAAGUGGGAAACGAUGUGGGAAGGCCCAGACAGCCAGGAUGUUGGCUUAGAAGCAGCCAUCAUUUAAAGAAAGCGUAAUAGCUCACUGGUCGAGUCGGCCUGCGCGGAAGAUGUAACGGGGCUAAACCAUGCACCGAAGCUGCGGCAGCGACGCUUAUGCGUUGUUGGGUAGGGGAGCGUUCUGUAAGCCUGCGAAGGUGUGCUGUGAGGCAUGCUGGAGGUAUCAGAAGUGCGAAUGCUGACAUAAGUAACGAUAAAGCGGGUGAAAAGCCCGCUCGCCGGAAGACCAAGGGUUCCUGUCCAACGUUAAUCGGGGCAGGGUGAGUCGACCCCUAAGGCGAGGCCGAAAGGCGUAGUCGAUGGGAAACAGGUUAAUAUUCCUGUACUUGGUGUUACUGCGAAGGGGGGACGGAGAAGGCUAUGUUGGCCGGGCGACGGUUGUCCCGGUUUAAGCGUGUAGGCUGGUUUUCCAGGCAAAUCCGGAAAAUCAAGGCUGAGGCGUGAUGACGAGGCACUACGGUGCUGAAGCAACAAAUGCCCUGCUUCCAGGAAAAGCCUCUAAGCAUCAGGUAACAUCAAAUCGUACCCCAAACCGACACAGGUGGUCAGGUAGAGAAUACCAAGGCGCUUGAGAGAACUCGGGUGAAGGAACUAGGCAAAAUGGUGCCGUAACUUCGGGAGAAGGCACGCUGAUAUGUAGGUGAAGUCCCUCGCGGAUGGAGCUGAAAUCAGUCGAAGAUACCAGCUGGCUGCAACUGUUUAUUAAAAACACAGCACUGUGCAAACACGAAAGUGGACGUAUACGGUGUGACGCCUGCCCGGUGCCGGAAGGUUAAUUGAUGGGGUUAGCGCAAGCGAAGCUCUUGAUCGAAGCCCCGGUAAACGGCGGCCGUAACUAUAACGGUCCUAAGGUAGCGAAAUUCCUUGUCGGGUAAGUUCCGACCUGCACGAAUGGCGUAAUGAUGGCCAGGCUGUCUCCACCCGAGACUCAGUGAAAUUGAACUCGCUGUGAAGAUGCAGUGUACCCGCGGCAAGACGGAAAGACCCCGUGAACCUUUACUAUAGCUUGACACUGAACAUUGAGCCUUGAUGUGUAGGAUAGGUGGGAGGCUUUGAAGUGUGGACGCCAGUCUGCAUGGAGCCGACCUUGAAAUACCACCCUUUAAUGUUUGAUGUUCUAACGUGGACCCGUAAUCCGGGUUGCGGACAGUGUCUGGUGGGUAGUUUGACUGGGGCGGUCUCCUCCUAAAGAGUAACGGAGGAGCACGAAGGUUGGCUAAUCCUGGUCGGACAUCAGGAGGUUAGUGCAAUGGCAUAAGCCAGCUUGACUGCGAGCGUGACGGCGCGAGCAGGUGCGAAAGCAGGUCAUAGUGAUCCGGUGGUUCUGAAUGGAAGGGCCAUCGCUCAACGGAUAAAAGGUACUCCGGGGAUAACAGGCUGAUACCGCCCAAGAGUUCAUAUCGACGGCGGUGUUUGGCACCUCGAUGUCGGCUCAUCACAUCCUGGGGCUGAAGUAGGUCCCAAGGGUAUGGCUGUUCGCCAUUUAAAGUGGUACGCGAGCUGGGUUUAGAACGUCGUGAGACAGUUCGGUCCCUAUCUGCCGUGGGCGCUGGAGAACUGAGGGGGGCUGCUCCUAGUACGAGAGGACCGGAGUGGACGCAUCACUGGUGUUCGGGUUGUCAUGCCAAUGGCACUGCCCGGUAGCUAAAUGCGGAAGAGAUAAGUGCUGAAAGCAUCUAAGCACGAAACUUGCCCCGAGAUGAGUUCUCCCUGACUCCUUGAGAGUCCUGAAGGAACGUUGAAGACGACGACGUUGAUAGGCCGGGUGUGUAAGCGCAGCGAUGCGUUGAGCUAACCGGUACUAAUGAACCGUGAGGCUUAACCUUACAACGCCGAAGGUGUUU
rnacentral:rRNA from 1 species